AUUGAACGCUGGCGGCAUGCCUUACACAUGCAAGUCGAACGGUAACAGGUCUUCGGAUGCUGACGAAUGGAGAACGGGUGAGUAAUACAUCGGAACGGGCCUCGUAGUGGGGGAUAACUACUUGAAAGAGGUGCUAAUACUGCAUGAGAUCCACGGAUGUAAGCAGGGGGUCGCAAGACCUUCGGCUCCUAGAGAGGCCGAUGGCAGAUUAGGUAGUUGCUGGGAUACAAUCUUACCAAGCCGACGACCUGUAGCGGGUAUGAGAGGACGGUCAGCCACACUGGGACUGAGACACGGCCCAGACUCCUGCGGGAGGCAGCAGUGGGGCAUAUUGGACAAUGGGCGCAAGCCUUAUCCAGCAAUGCCGCGUGCAGGAUGAAGGCCUUCGGGUUGUAAACUGCUUUUGUACGGAACGAAAAGCCCUGGGUUAAUACCCUGGGGUCAUGACGGUACCGUAAGAAUAAGCACCGGCUAACUACGUGCCAGCCGCCGCAGUAA
rnacentral:rRNA from 1 species